CGAACGGGUGAGUAACGCGUGAGCAACCUGCCUAUGACAGUGGGAUAGCCUCGGGAAACCGGGAUUAAUACCGCAUAAAAUCGUAGAAACACAUGUUUUAACGGUCAAAGAUUUAUCGGUCAUAGAUGGGCUCGCGUCUGAUUAGCUAGUUGGUGAGAUAACAGCCCACCAAGGCGACGAUCAGUAGUCGGUCUGAGAGGAUGAACGGCCACAUUGGAACUGAGACACGGUCCAA
rnacentral:rRNA from 1 species